GUGCUACCUUUGAUAGCACAUAUGCUAAAAUGGAAAAAAUACAAAGACGUUGCCAUGGCCCGUGAGCAAAGAUCACGUGCCAAUUCACGAAGCAACCCAUAUUUUA